UAUGGGGCAGAUAUGGGGGUCUAUGGGGCGCUAUGGGGCACGUAUGGGGGUCUAUGGGGCACAUAUGGGGUCUAUGGGGCACAUAUGGGGCGCUAUGGGGCAGACCCAGCUAUGGGGCAGCCCCACAGAUCCCCAUCUCUAGGUCCCACUAUGGGGCAGCCCUAUGGGUCUGGCUAUGGGGCAGCCCUAUGGGUCCUGCUAUGGGUCCAUCUAUGGGUCAGCCCCACAUCUCCCCCCAUUACUCCCCUAUGGGCACAUGCAAUGUGGGUCCCCGUGGGUCAUCGAAUCGAUCCAUGGGGCGGAGGCGGAGCAGCAGCGCCCCCCCAUGGACAGACACCGCCAUCAACAGCAGCGACCAGCAGCAGCCCCAUAGAGGAACCCACAGAUAGAAAGGAAGAGCAAUCGAGGCACCCAAAAAGCCAAGCCGGAUACAUUUGAAAUGGCUGCACCUAAAGGAAGGGGAGAGGGUUCAUUAGUGCCCAUUAAUUAGUUAAUUAGCGCUAAUUAAGAGCCGUUAAUUAGGCAAUCAAUGGACCCCCCCUUCCCCUCUGAAAUGAAUGAGGAGCAAUCUGAGGCCCCCCAACAAUGAAGGCCUGGAUACAUUGAAUGGCUGCACCUAAAGGAAGGGGAAGAGGGUUCAUUAGUGCCCGGUAAUUAUUAAUUAGCGCUAAUUAAGACCCAUUAAUUAGCAAUGAUUGGACCCCCCCCCCCUCUUCCAUUGAAAUGAAUGAGGAGCAAUCUGAGGCCCCAAACAAUGAAGCCUGGACACAUUGAAUGGCUGCACCUAAAGGAAGGGGAAGAGGGUUCAUUAGUGCCCGUAAUUUAGUUAAUUAGCGCUAAUUAAAAACCCAUUAAUUAGGCAAUCAAUGGGACCCCCCCCCCUUCUCCCAUUGAGAUGAAUGAAGUCUGAUGCCCCCCCCAAAGCAAAGGCCGGACACAAUUGAAUGGCUGCACCUAAAGGAAGGGGAGAGGGUUCAUUAAUACCCAGUAAUUAGUUAAUUAGUCCUAAUUAAGACCAUUAAUUAGGCAAUAUCAAUGGACCCCCCCCCCCCUUCCCCCAUUGAAAUGAAUGCAAUCUGAUGACCCCAAUAAUGAGGCCUGGAUGAGGCCCCCAACAAUGAAGCCUGGACCACAUUGAAUGGCUGCACCUAAAGGAAGGGGAGAGGGUUCAUUAGUGCCCAGUAAUUUAGUUAAUUAGCGCUAAUUAAGACCCAUUAAUUAGGCAAUCAAUGGACCCCCCCCCUCUUCCCAUUGAGAUGAAUGCAAUCUGAGGACCCCCAUAAUGGAGCCUGGAUGAGGCCCCCCAACAAUGAAGCCUGGGAUACAUUGAAUGGCUGCACCUAAAGGAAGGGGAGAGAUUCAUUAGUGCCGGUAAUUAGUUAAUUAGUCCUAAUUAAGACCCAUUAAUUAGCGAAUGAAUGGACCGCCCCCCCCCCUUCCCCCAUUGAGAUGAAUGAAGACUGAGGACCCCCCAUUGAAAUGAAUGAAGUCUGAUGCCCCCCCAAAAGCGAAGGCCGGACACAUUGAAUGGCUGCACCUAAAGGAAGGGGAGAGGGUUCAUUAGUGCCCGUAAUUAUUUAAUUAGCGCUAAUUAAGAGCCAUUAAUUAGGCAAUCAAUGGACCCCCCCCCCCUGCUCCCCCAUUGAGAUGAAUGAAGUCUGAGGACCCCCAUUGAAAUGACAUGAAGUCUGAUGCCCCCCCCAAAGCGAAGGUCGGACACAUUGAAUGGCUGCACCUAAAGGAAGGGGAAGGAUUAAUUAUACCCCAGUAAUUAGUUAAUUAGUCCUAAUUAAGACCCAUUAAUUAGGCAUUGAAUGGACCCCCCCCCCCUCUUCCCAUUGAAAUGAAUGAAGGAGCAAUCUGAGGCCCCCCCAACAAUUGAAGCCUGGACACAUUGAAUGGCUGCACCUUAAAGGAAGGGGAAAGGAUUCAUUAGUGCCGUAAUUAGUUAAUUAGCGCUAAUUAAGACCCAUUAAUUAAGGCAAUCAAUUGACCCCCCCCCCCCGUCCUCCCAUUGAAAUGAAGAAGUCUGAUGCCCCCCCAAAGCGAAGGCCGACACAUUGAAUGGCUGCACCUAAAGGAAGGGAGAGGGUUCAUUAGUGCCCAUUAAUUAGUUAAUUAGCGCUAAUUAAGACCCAUUAAUUAGGCAAUCAAUGCCCCCCCCCCCCCUCUCCAUUGAAAUAAAUGCAAUCUGAGACCCA
rnacentral:lncRNA from 1 species